AGGGUUGGUGCAAGAAUGCAAUGGCCCUUGAGUAAUAUGGUGUGAUUGGGUUAAAAUUGAGGAUGAUACUAUCCUUAAGCUUCGAUUGCCACUUCAGACGUGUCAUGAUAGUAUAAUUUGUUUUAAGUAGUUUGACGUGCGUACUUAAAAAAAAGGUGUAUAAGACCAGUGUACCAGGGAAAGGGAACGUAUUGUACAGUUGCUAGCAUCCACGAAAGGACCACUGAGUAUUGGUGAAUUGUUGGAACGAAAUGAUGCCACUUCUCUAGGUCGAUCGUAC
rnacentral:lncRNA from 1 species